CGCAUGCGCAGAAAAUGUCGACAUGUUUGUGGUCAUGCUUCGCAGCUCUCAGGUGCGUGCGCAUCUCGGCGCGACUCGCGGCUUUCAGGAAAAAAUUGAACGUACCACUCGCCAGUAAACUGUGAGACUUCCAGCGAUUCGUCAGUGAAGUUAGCUUGGUGGAUGUCAUUGACCGCCAUAUUCAGGACAGUCGUCCGAGACAGUUUCGAAAAAAAAGUUGGAAGGUGAAGUGAUAAGAGUGUCGAAAGGUUAAGGACUGUGCGUUGAAUAUAUUAUUACGCAUAAGAAUCGGUAAAACCGACGCAGUAGAAAACCUAAGAUGGAGUUCAAGUUCAACGUAAAUAAACUUUUACCUAGAAAGAUCAACAAGGUCACGCAUACUCUUAUUCCAGAAGAUUUCAAAGGUGAUCGUCGUG